GAUGAACGCUGGCGGCGUGCCUAAUACAUGCAAGUCGAGCGAACAGAUGAGGAGCUUGCUCCUCUGACGUUAGCGGCGGACGGGUGAGUAACACGUGGAUAACCUACCUAUAAGACUGGGAUAACUUCGGGAAACCGGAGCUAAUACCGGAUAAUAUAUUGAACCGCAUGGUUCAAUAGUGAAAGACGGUUUUGCUGUCACUUAUAGAUGGAUCCGCGCCGCAUUAGCUAGUUGGUAAGGUAACGGCUUACCAAGGCAACAAUGCGUAGCCGACCUGAGAGGGUGAUCGGCCACACUGGAACUGAGACACGGUCCAGACUCCUACGGGAGGCAGCAGUAGGGAAUCUUCCGCAAUGGGCGAAAGCCUGACGGAGCAACGCCGCGUGAGUGAUGAAGGUCUUCGGAUCGUAAAACUCUGUUAUUAGGGAAGAACAAAUGUGUAAGUAACUAUGCACGUCUUGACGGUACCUAAUCAGAAAGCCACGGCUAACUACGUG
rnacentral:rRNA from 1 species